rnacentral:rRNA from 1 species
ACGUGAGCAACCUGCCCAGAAGCAGGGGAUAGCCCACCGAAAGGUGGAUUAAUACCGUAUGUGAUCUCGCAGAGCAUUCUGCGGUGAUUAAAGCUGGGGAUCUUCGGACCUGGCACUUCUGGAUGGGCUCGCGGCCUAUCAGCUAGUUGGUGAGGUAACGGCUCACCAAGGGCGACGACGGGUUAGCUGGUCUGAGAGGAUGAUCAGUCACACUGGAACUGAGACACGGUCCAGACACCUACGGGUGGCAGCAGUCGAGAAUCAUUCACAAUGGGCGAAAGCCUGAUGGUGCGACGCCGC